UCGAUUCCCUUAGUAGCGGCGAGCGAAACGGGAAGAGCCCAAACCAACAAGCUUGCUUGUUGGGGUUGUAGGACACUCUAUACGGAGUUACAAAGGACGACAUUAGACGAAUCAUCUGGAAAGAUGAAUCAAAGAAGGUAAUAAUCCUGUAGUCGAAAAUGUUGUCUCUCUUGAGUGGAUCCUGAGUACGACGGAGCACGUGAAAUUCCGUCGGAAUCUGGGAGGACCAUCUCCUAAGGCUAAAUACUCUCUAGUGACCGAUAGUGAACCAGUACCGUGAGGGAAAGGUGAAAAGCACCCCGGAAGGGGAGUGAAAUAGAACCUGAAACCGUGUGCUUACAAGUAGUCAGAGCCCGUUAAUGGGUGAUGGCGUGCCUUUUGUAGAAUGAACCGGCGAGUUACGAUUUGAUGCAAGGUUAAGCAGUAA
rnacentral:rRNA from 1 species